rnacentral:rRNA from 1 species
UACAGAGGGUGCGAGCGUUAAUCGGAUUUACUGGGCGUAAAGGGCGCGUAGGUGGUAAAGCAAGUAAGAUGCGAAAUCCCUGGGCUUAACCUAGGAAGUGCAUCUUAAACUGCUUAACUAGAGUAUGGUAGAGGGUAGUGGAAUUUCCGGUGUAGCGGUGAAAUGCGUAGAGAUCGGAAGGAACGCCAGUGGUGAAGACAGCCCCCUGGGUCAAAACUGACGCUCAUGCACGAAAGCGUGGGGAGCAAACAGG